rnacentral:rRNA from 1 species
GACGAACCGAGCGAACGUUGUUCGGAAUCACUGGGCUUAAAGGGCGCGUAGGCGGGCUGUCAAGUUUGGGGUGAAAUCCCACGGCUCAACCGUGGAACUGCCUCAAAUACUGACGGUCUCGAGGGAGGUAGGGGCGAGCGGAACUGAUGGUGGAGCGGUGAAAUGCGUUGAUAUCAUCAGGAACUCCGGUGGCGAAGGCGGCUCGCUGGACCUCUUCUGACGCUGAGGCGCGAAAGCUAGGGGAGCAAACGGG